rnacentral:lncRNA from 1 species
GAGUAACAUGUCCUUUGUGAAAAGGUUUUGAAAUGCCCUAAGGCGAAAACUUGAAUUUGAUGAGUUGAGAUUGAUUUUAGAUUGGAAAAAGAUUGUCUUGAUUUGAAUUGCACUAAAGUCUAUGAUAAAAGGCGAAUACUUUGAGCAACUAGGAUCUACUCCCCGUACUCAAAGGUACUCUAGACAAGGAUAUGAAUAAUUCAUCUCAUCAUUCUCCAUUGCUUAAGACUCG